AGAUCAGAAACAGCAUUUGGAGAGAAGAACAGAGGAUUCAGUGUGAUCUGAAGGAGGAGAGAUGUCCUCCAAAAUGAGUCUCUCUGAGGAACAGGACACACAGGAAGCUGAGAGACUGAAUCAGGGUAAGAGAUCUGACUCACCUGAACCCAGCUGUGUGUCCAUGAAGAGUGACCAGUCAGAGGGGAGAACAAUAGAGUUCAGAGAUG